GGAAGAACGCAGCGAAAUGCGAUAAGUAAUGUGAAUUGCAGAAUUCAGUGAAUCAUCGAAUCUUUGAACGCACCUUGCGCCCUUUGGCCAUUCCGAAGGGCAUGCCUGUUUGAGUAUCAUGAACACCUCAACUCUUUAUGGUUUUCCAUGAUGAGCUUGGACUCUGGGGGUUUUGCUGGCUCACAGUCGGCUCCUCUAAAAUGAAUCAGCUUACCAGUGUUUGGUGGGUAUCAUGGGUGUGAUAACUAUCUACGCUUGUGGUUUUUCCACCAGGUAACCUUCAGCAGUGGAGGUUCGCUGGAGCUCAUAGAUGUCUCUCCUCAGUGAGGACAGCCCUUUGAAUGUUUGAUCUCAAAUCAGGUAGGACUACCCGCUGAACUUAAGCAUAUCAAUAAGCGGAGGA
rnacentral:misc_RNA from 1 species